UGGUUUCUCUUCAGAACGCAUAAAUCUUUCGCCUUUUACUAAAGAUUUCCGUGGAGAGAAACAAUUAA
rnacentral:snRNA from 1 species